rnacentral:rRNA from 1 species
AUUGAACGCUGGCGGCAUGCCUUACACAUGCAAGUCGAACGGCAGCACGGGGCAACCUGGUGGCGAGUGGCGAACGGGUGAGUAAUGCAUCGGAACGUGCCAUUGAGUGGGGGAUAACGUAGCGAAAGUUGCGCUAAUACCGCAUAUUCUGUGAGCAGGAAAGCAGGGGACCGCAAGGCCUUGCGCUCUUUGAGCGGCCGAUGUCAGAUUAGCUAGUUGGUGAGGUAACGGCUUACCAAGGCGACGAUCUGUAGCGGGUCUGAGAGGAUGAUCCGCCACACUGGGACUGAGACACGGCCCAGACUCCUACGGGAGGCAGCAGUGGGGAAUUUUGGACAAUGGGCGCAAGCCUGAUCCAGCCAUGCCGCGUGAGUGAAGAAGGCC